rnacentral:rRNA from 1 species
GAUGAACGCUGGCGGCGUGCCUAAUCCAUUCAAGUCGAGCGAACAGACGAGGUGCUUGCUCCUCGGACGAUAGCCGCGGACGUGUGAGUAACACGUGGAUAACCUACCUCUAAGACUGGGAUAACUUCUGGAAACCGGAGCUAAUCCCGGAUAAUAUAUUGAACCGCAUGGUUCAAUAGUGAAAGCCGGUUUUGCUGUCACUUAUAGAUGGAUCCGCGCCGCAUUAGCUAGUUGGUAAGGUAACGGCUUACCAAGGCAACGAUGCGUAGCCGACCUGAGAGGGUGAUCGGCCACACUGGAACGGAGACACGGUCCAGACUCCUACGGGAGGCAGCAGUAGGGAAUCUUCCGCAAUGGGCGAAAGCUUGACGGAGCAACGCCGCGUGAGUGAUGAAGGUCUUCGGAUCGUAAAACUCUGUUAUUAGGGAAGAACAAAUGUGUAAGUAACUAUGCACGUCUUGACGGUACCUACUCAGAAAGCCACGGCUAACUACGUG